rnacentral:rRNA from 1 species
AUUGAACGCUGGCGGCAGGCCUAACACAUGCAAGUCGAGCGGAUGAAGGGAGCUUGCUCCUGGAUUCAGCGGCGGACGGGUGUGUAAUGCCUAGGAAUCUGCCUGGUAGUGGGGGAUAACGUCCGGAAACGGGCGCUAAUACCGCAUACGCCCUGAGGGAGAAAGUGGGGGAUCUUCGGACCUCACGCUAUCAGAUGAGCCUAGGUCGGAUUAGCUAGUUGGUGGGGUAAAGGCCUACCAAGGCGACGAUCCGUAACUGGUCUGAGAGGAUGAUCAGUCACACUGGAACUGAGACACGGUCCAGACUCCUACGGGAGGCAGCAGUGGGGAAUAUUGGACAAUGGGCGAAAGCCUGAUCCAGCCAUGCCGCGUGUGUGAAGAAGGUCUUCGGAUUGUAAAGCACUUUAAGUUGGGAGGAAGGGCAGUAAGUUAAUACCUUGCUGUUUUGACGUUACCAACAGAAUAAGCACCGGCUAACUUCGUG